rnacentral:rRNA from 1 species
AAACCUGCGAAACUCGAAUGAACGAACGGAGAGAUUCAUCGUCAUCCGACGGCGUACGGGCGCGCGCCUCGAUGUCGUACGCCUGCCCUCGCGGUUGUGUCGUACGGCACGGGUCGCGUCCGUCGACGUCCGUCGGCGGCGUGCACUUCUCUCUCAGUAAUACAUCGCGACCCGUUCGAUGUCGGUCUAAGCGCCGUUCGGGAGUCCAUCGGUCUAGUUAACGCUCGGCCUUUGGACCGUGACGGUGGCCGACCGGCCGUCGGACGGUAGUACAAAGUCGUACUUAAAAUACGAAUCGCGCACGCGCCUCGCGCGCGUCCGGCCCGACGCAAGCGAACGCCGUCUGUCGAUGUCCUGCCCGAGUGCGGACGUCGACGCGGCGCUGCUGUCGUCGCAGCCGUGCUGUCUCGGACCGUGCGCGUAUCCGUCUGCGAUGAUUC